AUUCCUUGUUGGCUUGUGGGACCCCGGAGGCAGCUGACAGGUACCGGCAGGCCAAGCGUGCUGCAGCGUGUGCAGUCACAGAGGCAUAAACGCGGGUCUGGGAAGAGUUUGGGGAGGCCAUGGAGGAGGACUAUCGGUCGGCCUC